rnacentral:rRNA from 1 species
GGAUUAGAUACCCUGGUAGUCCACGCUGUAAACGAUGGUUACUCGACAUUGGCGAUACACGGUCAGUGUCCAAGCGAAAGUAUUAAGUAACCCACCUGGGGAGUACGUUCGCAAGAAUGAAACUCAAAGGAAUUGACGGGGGCCCGCACAAGCGGUGGAGCAUGUGGUUUAAUUCGAUGAUACGCGAGGAACCUUACCAGGGCUUGAAAGUUAGUGACGUACCGGGAAACCGGUAUUCUCUUCGGAGCACGAAACUAGGUGCUGCAUGGCUGUCGUCAGCUCGUGUUG